rnacentral:rRNA from 1 species
UUGGAGGGCAAGUCUGGUGCCAGCAGCCGCGGUAAUUCCAGCUCCAAUAGCGUAUAUUAAAGUUGUUGCAGUUAAAAGGCUCGUAGUUGAAUCUCGGGAUUGACGUGAUGGUCAUGCCUUAAGGGGUAUGAACUGUUGCAGUUGAUUUCUCACCUUCUGGAGAAACUUGAUGUCCUUUAUUGGGUGUCUUGCGGAUCCAGGACCUUUACCUUGAAAAAAUUAGAGUGUUUAAAGCAGGCAUUUUUGCUCGAAUACAUUAGCAUGGAAUAAUAGAAUAGGACGGCAUGGUUCUAUUUUGUUGGUUUCUAGGAUCACCGUAAUGAUUAAUAGGGAUAGUUGGGGGCAUUAGUAUUCAAUUGUCAGAGGUGAAAUUCUUGGAUUUAUUGAAGACUAACUACUGCGAAAGCAUUUGCCAAGGAUGUUUUCAUUAAUCAAGAACGAAAGUUAGGGGAUCGAAGACGAUCAGAUACCGUCGUAGUCUUAACCAUAAACUAUGCCGACUAGGAAUCAGACGAUGUUAAUUUUUUAAUGACUCGUUUGGCACCUUACGGGAAACCAAAGUGUUUGGGUUC